AAGGUGGCACGGUAGUAUUUGCAUUCCAGAAUUUAGGUUGCUCUUUUGUGUACCCUACUUAGGUUAAUGUAUCCAAACAGUGUGAUUGGACAAAAAAUACAGUAUCAACUGAACAUACUUUCCCAAACUGAGGGAUGAAUCAGGUGUAGAAAAAUAUGAAAUAAUUUUACAUACAGAUGAAAAUGAAUUUUUGAGAAUUUUUUAAAAUUUUGUAUUCACUGCACCAUAAAAGACCUAAAAGUACUAGUGGCCUUAGGUUUUAAAAAUAGCAAAAAAAGUAAACGGUCAUGAUACAUAUUCAAAUUCAUUUCAGAAUAGUAAAAUGAAAGUACUUCAGUUAACUGUGAAUGUAGAAUUUUUUGCAGUGUUAGAAAGUGGUGAAAAUUCUAAAAAGGCUAUCAUUAUCUCUUAUGGGCCAGGAAAUACUACCGUGCCA
rnacentral:lncRNA from 1 species